UACAGAGGUCUCAAGCGUUGUUCGGAUUCACUGGGCGUAAAGCGCACGUAGGCGGAUGUGUCAGUCAGGGGUGAAAUCCCGGGGCUCAACCUCGGAACUGCCUUUGAUACAGCACGUCUCGAGUCCGGAAGAGGUGGGUGGAAUUCCUAGUGUAGAGGUGAAAUUCGUAGAUAUUAGGAAGAACACCGGUGGCGAAGGCGGCCCACUGGUCCGGUACUGACGCUGAGGUGCGAAAGCGUGGGGAGCAAACAGG
rnacentral:rRNA from 1 species